CACCCUGACGGAGGGGGACUUCCACCACCUGAAGAACGCCCGCCUCACGCACCUGCACCUGCCACCCCUCAAGAUCAUCACAAUCCAUGAGUGUGACCUGGGCGAAGCCAGCGCCACCACCCCCCUGCACGCUGCCACCGCCCCCAAGGCCAACCUCGCCAUAUUCCAGCCCCCGGGGAAGGCCCUCACCGGCCGCUCCGUGGGCCCCAGCUCCGCCCUGCCAGGUGACCCCUACAACUCAGCCGUGGGCCCUGCUGACUUCGAGAUCAGCCCCUUGGCAUCCAGCGACUCCGGGGAAGGCACCUGGUCGGAUGCAGGUACCGGGAGCACCAAGCCUGUUGGGCCAGGGGCCACGACAGGACCCGGGGAGGCAGGCCCAGGCUCUGGGGCAGGACCUGUCCUGCAGUUCUUUACCCGCUUGCGGCGCCAUGCCAGCCUGGACGGGGCCAGCCCCUACUUCAAGGUCAAGAAAUGGAAGCUGGACCCCAGCCAACGGGCAUCCAGUCUGGACACUAGAGGUGAG
rnacentral:lncRNA from 1 species